rnacentral:rRNA from 1 species
AACGCGAAGAACCUUACCAACCUUUGACAUGUCCAGUAUGGGUCCGAGAGAUCAGACCCUUCAGUUCGGCUGGCUGGAACACAGGUGCUGCAUGGCUGUCGUCAGCUCGUGUCGUGAGAUGUUGGGUUAAGUCCCGCAACGAGCGCAACCCUCAUCUUUAGUUGCCACCAUUCAGUUGGGCACUCUAAAGAAACCGCCGGUGACAAGCCGGAGGAAGGCGGGGAUGACGUCAAGUCCUCAUGGCCCUUACAGGUUGGGCUACACACGUACUACAAUGGUGGUGACAGUGGGUUGCGAAGUCGCGAGACGGAGCCAAUCCCCAAAAACCAUCUCAGUUCAGAUUGCACUCUGCAACUCGAGUGCAUGAAGUUGGAAUCGCUAGUAAUCGCAGAUCAGCACGCUGCGGUGAAUACGUUCCCGGGCCUUGUACACACCGACAUA